rfam:Triticum aestivum genome assembly, contig: Triticum_aestivum_CS42_TGACv1_scaffold_652317_T_7AL-0.044082_1AL-0.024515
AUAGUACUCCCUCCGUCCGAAAAAACUUGUCAUCAAAAUGAAUAAAAAGAGACGUAUCUAGAACUAAAAUACAUCUAGAUACAUCCUAUUUUUAUCCAUUUUGAUGACAAGUAUUUCCGGAUGGAGGGAGUACUUC